UACGAAGGGGGCUAGCGUUGCUCGGAAUCACUGGGCGUAUAGCGCACGUAGGCGGCUUUUUAAGUCAGGGGUGAAAUCCUGGAGCUCAACUCCAGAACUGCCUUUGAUACUGAAGAUCUUGAGUUCGGGAGAGGUGAGUGGAACUGCGAGUGUAGAGGUGAAAUUCGUAGAUAUUCGCAAGAACACCAGUGGCGAAGGCGGCUCACUGGCUCGAUACUGACGCUGAGGCACGAAAGCGUGGGGAGCAAACAGG
rnacentral:rRNA from 1 species